UUUUGAAUUUGUCUGCCACUUGUGUCAAUUAGUGGGUAAGUGGUAACAAUAAUGGAGACUUUCUAAUAUUAUUUCUUGUCUCUAGUAGCCACAGUUUUUCUUUAAUAAAUUUCUUUAUUAAAGUAGUGAUAAAGGGCUACUUCAAUCACCAUCAUUUCUCCAUUUUUGAAUCAAAGAAUUCUGCAGGGAAUUCUUCAUCGUUAAGAGAUGCUUGGCUCAUAUCUUCAACAACACAAUAUUCACAGUGGUGAUCACUGUAAUUCCAAAGUAUCUUGCAUAAUUCCUUAGCCAUAUCUUCCGAUCCAUGCACUUGGUUGGAUAUAAUUGCAGAUAAUAAAUGGUCAAGAUAACAAAUAUCUUCUUCUUUGGUCUCCAUUCUUGCAUUGGAAUAGAUAAUAUGAUCUUCAGAUGGAUAAACCCAUAUUUUUUAUUUCUCAGUGAUAAUCUGAGUUACAUGUUCAAAUAUCUCUUUAUACCCUUUGGCUCUUCUAUAGGGCAUCAUAUUAAGAAUAUCUUGAUAUCCAUUUUUAACAACCUUUUGAUUGGCUGGUAAAAAAUGUUGAUUUGUUAAUCCCAUUUUUAUCACAUGGAACGAUGGGUGCAUAUAUUCAAGGACAGGAUCCCAUUCCAUUGUAGCUGAAUGGAAUCUGAUAUAUAUAUUUGUUGUUUUAACAACUUCAGUAUAUCUCUUGACAGCUUUCCUGAUGUUGGCUGGAAGCUGAGCUAUCUCUUUAAGAUCUUUACUUGGAUAUAUACAAAGUAUAUUUCCAAUUUCAAAGCAAUUUCGAACCCAGUUGGCUGGUGCUCCUGGAUAAAAAUUUAUCUUGUUGUAUUUUGAAUAAUGGAGAGUCUUCAUCCACUUUCCAAUCUCAAGAUACCAAUCUGAUAGAAUGUUAAAAAUAACAAUGAACAAUGUUACUUCUUCAUAACUAUCUUUUCUCGGCAUUUUUGCUUCAUGACAUAUUUUGACGAUAUCUUUAGGAUCUAUCCUUUCAAUAGAAAGUUUAGAUUGAGUUUGGCUCUGUGAAGAGCUACCUUCUUUUUUGAUAUCUGGAAUAUCUUUAUUACCAGUAAUAGGUUUGAGUAUUCCCUGCGAAGGGGUUCCUAUUACUUUCUUUUCUUUCCCUUUAUCCUCGGGAAGAGCACUAGUAUUCACAAGUCCCUGCAAAGGGAUACUAGAUUUGGUACAAGUAUCUUCUACCUCAAGGGCUAUAUUUUUGCCUCGAAGAUUAUCUUGAAUAUUUUGAAUUUGAGUUUCCAAAUAGGAAACUUUUAUUUCAAGUAUCUGGACUUUCGUCCUUAGUUGUUCUAGCUCCAUCCCUGCUAAGAUAAUCAGGAAGAAAGUUAGUUUUACCUUUUAUGUAUUCAAUAUCAAAUUUGAAAUAUGAAAACCAAAUUUGGAUCCUAAUAAUAUAUCCAUUGUUAAUAGAUGGAUCAACAUUAUUUUUUAAGAAUGCUUUAACUUGAGUAUUAUCAGUUCUGAUCAAGAACUUCUUUGGUAAUAAGUAAUCUUCAUAUUUUUGAACUCCUCUUUUUACAGCAAUGAGUUCUUUUCUAUUCGUCUCAUAUCUUGUUUCAACUUCUUUGAAUGUUCCUGAUGUAUAUCCUGCAAGAAUUUCAGAACAAGAACAAUCUUUUUCACAUUUAUAUUCUUUAUGAUUCUUUUUAACCUUUAGCACUGCUCCCCAGUAAUAAUCUGAAGCAUCAGUUUCUAGGAUAAAAAAAAUCUUCCUCUUGGGGUAUUAUAAGUUUGGGCAAUACCUUUAAUUCUUCUUUUACCUUUCUUAUAUUUUCACAGUCUUGCUCUUCC
rnacentral:lncRNA from 1 species